ACCUAUAAACUAGCCCGCCUAACUGAUUAAAAUAAAAAAUAUAGAUCAAUUAACAAAAUCUACAAUUUUAAAACAAACCAUUUUUCCACCUAAGUAUGGGAGACAGAAAAGGACCAAGGAGCCAUAGAAAAAGUACCGCAAGGGAAAGUUGAAAAGAAGUGAAUAAUUAUAUAAGUAAAAACAGCAGAGAUUUAACCUUGUACCUUUUGCAUCAUGAUUUAGCCAGAAUUUCUUAAGCAAAGAGAACUUUAGUUUAAGCCCCCGAAACUAGACGAGCUACUCCGAGGCAGCCUAUCAUAGGGCUAACCCGUCUCUGUGGCAAAAGAGUGGGGAGAACUCCGAGUAGAGGUGAUAAACCUACCGAGCCUAGUUAUAGCUGGUUAUCUAGGAAAUGAAUAGAAGUUCAGCCUUCCAAUUUCUCCAUUCCUGCAUGUAUAACUAACAUUGUUGAUGAGAAGUUAAAAGAGUUAGUCAAAGGAGGUACAGCUCCUCUGAACUAGGACACAACCUUUAAAGGUGGUUAAAGAUCAUAUUAAUUAAGGAUUUUGUUUUAGUGGGCCUAAAAGCAGCCAUCUAUCUAAAAAGCGUUAAAGCUUAGACUAACCCCCCCCCCUUCUUAUUUUGAUAAAAUAAUCUUACCCCCUAUAGUUACUAGAUUAUCCCACAGCCAUUGUGGGAGUAAUUAUGCUAAAAUGAGUAAUAAGAGGGGUUUAACCCCCUCUCCCCGCACUCGUGUAUAUCGGAUCGGACCAUCCACCGAAUAUUAACGAACCCAAAGCCAGAGGGAAAAAUACCCUAAAAUAAAAACAAGAAAUACCCAUUAAACAUAAUCGUUAUUUUUACACAAUAGUGCCCGAAGGAAAGACCCUAAGGAAAAGAAGGAACUCGGCAAACAUGAGCCUCGCCUGUUUACCAAAAACAUCGCCUCUCGUAAAUUGAAAAUGAGAGGUCCCGCCUGCCCUGUGACUAUAUGUUUAACGGCCGCGGUAUUUUAACCGUGCAAAGGUAGCGCAAUCACUUGUCUUUUAAAUGAAGACCUGUAUGAAUGGCAUAACGAGGGCCAGACUGUCUCCUUUCCCUAGUCAAUGAAAUUGAUCUCCCCGUGCAGAAGCGGGGAUACGCCUAUAAGACGAGAAGACCCUAUGGAGCUUUAGACACUAGAAAGUCCACGUUCAACAACUCUAUAAAAAGAAAAAACUUAGUGGCACCUUAUCUACUUGUCUUCGGUUGGGGUGACCGCGGGGGACAAAAAGCCCCCAUGUGGAACGGGAAUUUUAUUCCUAAAACCAAGAAAUACCUUUCUAAGCAACAGAAUUUCUGACCAAAAUGAUCCGGCAGAGCCGAUCAACGGACCAGUUACCCUAGGGAUAACAGCGCAAUCCUCUCCCAGAGUCCCUAUCGACGAGGGGGUUUACGACCUCGAUGUUGGAUCAGGACAUCCUAAUGGUGCAGCCGCUAUUAAGGGUUCGUUUGUUCAACGAUUAAAGUCCUACGUGAUCUGAGUUCAGACCGGAGUAAUCCAGGUCAGUUUCUAUCUAUAUAGUGAUUUUUUCUAGUACGAAAGGACCGGAAAACGGGGGUCAAUGCUUAAAGUACACCUCAUUCCUACCUAAUGAAAUUAACUAAAUUAGCCAAAGGAACACAAUUCACCAAGCCUUAGAUAAAGGCGC
rnacentral:rRNA from 1 species